rnacentral:rRNA from 1 species
CAGCGCCACGAGUGGUAACCACGUUUAUUGGGCCUAAAGCGUCCGUAGCCGGCUUGGUAAAUCUUUUGUGAAAUUGUUCGGCUUAACCGAACAACGUGCAAGAGACACUGCCAGGCUUGAGACCGGGAGGAGUCAGAAGUAUUCCAGGGGGAGCGGUAAAAUGUUAUAAUCCCUGGAGGACUACCUGUGGCGAAGGCGUCUGACCAGAACGGAUCUGACGGUGAGGGACGAAAGCCAGGGGAGCAAUCCGGAUUAGAUACCCGAGUAGUCC